rnacentral:rRNA from 1 species
CAGUCGCCACGGGAAUACGAGGGGAGCUAGCGUUGUUCGGAAUUACUGGGCGUAAAGCGCGCGUAGGCGGCUUUUUAAGUCAGAGGUGAAAGCCCGGGGCUCAACCCCGGAAUUGCCUUUGAAACUGGAAAGCUAGAAUCUUGGAGAGGUCAGUGGAAUUCCGAGUGUAGAGGUGAAAUUCGUAGAUAUUCGGAAGAACACCAGUGGCGAAGGCGACUGACUGGACAAGUAUUGACGCUGAGGUGCGAAAGCGUGGGGAGCAAACAGGAUUAGAGACCCCGGUAGUCCCUGUCUCUUAUAC